UAGACGACGACGCAGCAGCUGAUUCUGUCAUCGUCUUCUGAAUCGUCGUCUGCA
rnacentral:pre_miRNA from 1 species